GUGUGUUAUUAAGCACACUUAUGCUGUCCCAACAGCGUACCGGAUAGAACCCGGAUAGGACUACUUUUAUAGGAGAAAAAAAAUG
ncrna:unclassified sequences freshwater-2 RNA